AAUUCUUCUGGAACCUUUCACCAACAUGCCUCUGUUUGAAUUCCUUUUGGAAGUAUAUAUUGCGUCUCUGCCUCAGCCACCUUUUACAUCGACAGUUGGUAGCACAAGCCUUUUAACGUGCAAAGGGGAGCAGCUCUUCAGCCAAUCUGUGAUAAAAGGGAAAAAAAUGAAAUCACUAUGGAAACUGCAGGAAGGAUCUAAAAGCUCUCUUUAUAAAGUAAACGUCUGAUGUUUGUGUCUGCAGGGGUAAAAAAUUCAUAAAUCUGUAUGAUGCUAUCAUUUCUGAUUUGUUAUCACUGCAAGUGCCAACUGGAAGCCGCCUGACCUUAGCUUCAUUAAGUGCGAUCUAUUCAGAAAGAGUUAGUAUUCAACAGGAGGAGGACGUGGUCGGCAGAGAGGUCGGGGGCUUCAGGGGAUAGUGCGGGAGUGAGCGAAGAAACUAAUUUGCUUAGAAUGUUUCCUUUCUUUUCUCACUUGAUUGUCUUUUUCUUUUAUAUCACGGUGACUUGAUGGAAUCAGGCACACAGCAUUGUUCUGCUUUGUGUUUUAUUUUGGUUUGUUUUUCAUUCAGAAAUGAAGCAUAUCUCAGACCUACAUUCAACUUAGAAAAUGAUGUCUGCCUUUGACUUUGAAUUGAAGGGAGGAAAAAAGGACAAAAACUGAAAUGUUAACCCUCUUCCUUCAAUCAAAAAGCAAAUAAAUACCAGGGAGAAGUCAUUCUCACUUCAGCACCCUGGACCCCCAGGAGGAGCACGGUGAAGGUGACCCGGGACUGCACGAGCUCUGAUGAAUCUGAUCGGAAGGCAGACAGCCACAGACACCUGUGCCACUGGAGAAGUUUCGGGAUAAAUCAUCUGUUCUCAGAAGUUAAGUGACUUUUAAAAGACAGUGCACGGUUGUUGAAAUAGGGAGCUUUCUACUUGUUAAUCGUUCACCUGUGGAGGAGGGGCUGUGGGGUCAAGAGGACACAGAAAAAUACUCCAACGCGAGAAAUUCUGCAAAGUGAAGAACAGCCUUAAUUCUGAGGAACAUGAAUAUUCAAUUUAUGGCAACUUCACCACAGUUGGAUGCAUUGAAUUGUCAAAGACGGAUGUGCAUGAUUUGGAUGGAGAAGACUGCCCACAACAGAAGGUAGAGAGAAGGGCACUUCCGGCUGGAGGUUUGUGUGUACCAGACCACUCUCCCAGUCCCCAGGGAGCUCUGGAGACCGCCGUUGGAGAAGACAGGUAGGUCCCAACUCACUCAAAGAGUGGGGAACAGGGUUAUACAUGCCUACUAACAAAACUUCCUUUCAGACUGUAGGUUGUGAAGGGAAUGUUCGUGUUCUGGAAUAUUCUGUGAUGUUUAAAAUGCUGUACAAAAUAAAUGUAAGGAAAUCUUUACCAACUUUUCUGCUUAAUUCCCUUCAGGGAGAUUCCCAAAGUCCAUGAAAUGCUUUGAAUAUCAACUUUCAUAAAUCAGCUCCAUGUUAAUUUUUUUCAUUGUGCUUUAAGUCUGAGACCACUUAAGAAGACAUUUAUGGGAACAUGGAAAACAUAUUGUUUCAUUUAUGCAUGCAACAAUGCAAAAACUUUCCCUUUGUUACUGUUCAGAAUAUUGGCAUUCUAUUUUCUGUAUGCAUGUUCUCAGAACUGACUUUCAGAGCUAUUCUAGAAUA